GGAGGAAAGCAGGGGAUCGCAAGACCUUGCGCUUUUGGAGCGGCCGAUGUCUGAUUAGCUUGUUGGUAAGGUAAAAGCUUACCAAGGCUUCGAUCAGUAGCUGGUCUGAGAGGACGACCAGCCACACUGGGACUGAGACACGGCCCAGACUCCUACGGGAGGCAGCAGUGGGGAAUUUUGGACAAUGGGGGCAACCCUGAUCCAGCCAUGCCGCGUGAGUGAAGAAGGCCUUCGGGUUGUAAAGCUCUUUCAGCCGGAACGAAACGGUUACGGUUAAUACCCGUGACUACUGACGGUACCGGAAGAAGAAGCACCGGCUAACUACGUGCCAGCAGCCGCGGUAAUACGUAGGGUGCGAGCGUUAAUCGGAAUUACUGGGCGUAAAGCGUGCGCAGGUGGUUUUGUAAGUCAGAUGUGAAAUCCCCGGGCUCAACCUGGGAACUGCGUUUGAAACUACAAAGCUAG
rnacentral:rRNA from 1 species